rnacentral:rRNA from 1 species
AUUGAACGCUGGCGGCAGGCCUAACACAUGCAAGUCGAACGAGUGGCGGACGGGUGAGUAAUGUCUGGGAAACUGCCUGAUGGAGGGGGAUAACUACUGGAAACGGUAGCUAAUACCGUAUACCCUCAGAUGUGCCCAGAGGGGAUUAGCUAGUUGGUGGGGUAACGGCUCACCAGGGCGACGCUCCCUAGCUGGUCUGAGAGUAUGACCGGCCACACGGGAACUGGAAAACGGCCCAGACCCCUCGGGGGGGCAGCAGGGGGAAAUAUUGAACAAUGGGCGCAAGCCGGAUGCAGCCAGGCGGGGUGUAUGAAGAAGGCCUUCGGGUUGUAAAGUACUUUCGGCGGGGAGACGUUACCCGCAGAGGAAGCACCGGCUAACUCCGUGCCAGCAGCCGCGUAAUAC